AUUGUGUAAUACUUUUUUAUUUGUCUGUUGCACAAUCUAUUUGCUGAUACUUGUUUCUUUCCCUCCCUCCCUCUCCCCUAGGCUAUCAAACAAAGCUGCCCAACCUUACACUCAUCCAUCAACCUCGAGUUAUUAAGAGAAUAACUGCAGAACAUUUACAAGUGGAUGGGAUGGAGUCCUGGCUGCUUUUCAAGAACACGGAGUCAGUGCUUUGCAAAAACUUUGCAAGAUGGCAAAUUUUCUCAUGCUGCCUGUUCCUUGCUCUGCUGGGACCUGCUGGAAGGAAUGGCUUCUUCAGUGUAGGGUUUUCCCCAUCUUCCCCUUCCCUAUAAGGUCCAGAGACAUUAUAAUCACAUCCCACAUGGGCCAAAUCAUGCCGAUGAGCCAAGAGGUGUGGAGAAGUCUAAUCUGGGCCACACAACUCUCACUUGUGUAUCUAGGCCACCCAGCCCUUUGUUAUUUCAGACUAGAGCAGUGA
rnacentral:lncRNA from 1 species